rnacentral:rRNA from 1 species
CGUACGGCUCAGUAACACGUAGUCAACCUGCCCUGGAGACAUGGACAACCCCGGGAAACUGGGAUUAAUCCGUGAUAGGUCAUCCCAUCUGGAAGGAGGGAUGGCUUAAAGGGGUGCGCGGGCUUCUUCUGCGUAUUCGCUCCAGGAUGGGACUGCGUCCGAUCAGGCUGUUGGCGGGGUAAUGGCCCACCAAACCUGUAACCGGUACGGGCCUUGAGAGAGGUGGCCCGGAGAUGGACACUGAGAGAAGGGUCCAGGUCCUACGGGGCGCAGCAGGCGCGAAACCUUCGCAAUGCGCGAAAGCGUGACGAGGCUAGUCCGAGUGCUCCCUGCUAAAGGGAGCUUUUCUCGGCUGUAAAUAGGCCGGGGAAUAAGGGGAGGGCAAGUCUGGUGUCAGCCGCCGCGGUAAUACCAGCUCCUCGAGUGGUCGGGACGAUUAUUGGGCCUAAAGCACCCGUAGCCGGUUCCGUAAGUCCUCUGUUAAAUCCAGUCGCUCAACGGCUGGUCUGCAGAGGAUACUGCAGGACUAGGAGGCGGGAGAGGCGGACGGUACUCCGCGUGUAGGGGUAAAAUCCUUUGAUCCGCGGAAGACCACCAGUGGCGAAGGCGGUCCGCCAGAACGCGCUCGACGGUGAGGGGUGAAAGCUGGGGGAGCGAACC